rnacentral:lncRNA from 1 species
GGGGAGUUGGUCUCUGUUGAGUACUGCAGACUGAAUGUUUGAAUCACCCCUAAAUUCAUGUUAAACAUCAAACUCCCAAGGUCAUGGUCUUAGAGGUGAAGCAUUCCAGAAACAAAGGUAGCGAAGGGGGAACCUCUUCUUGGUGUUCUUGCAAGAAUGGACACAAGGGAGCCCUCUUCCUCUCUCCCACGGGAGGCUGUAACAAGAAGGAGCCAUUUGCAAACCCAGAAGAGAGUCCUGACCAGACACCGAGCCUGUCCAUGCCUUGUGUUUUAGUCAGCUUUCUCAUCUCUGUGACCAAAAGACCUGACAAGAACAACUUUAAUAAGGAGGAAAACGUUUAUUUGGGGGCUCACAGUUUCAGAUGUCUCAGUCCAUAGAUGGCUGACUCCAUUCCUCGGGGCCUGAGGUGUGUGGCCGAACAGAACAGGACAGAAAUGUGUGGUGGAAGAAAGCAACUGGGAACAUGGCGUCAGGAAGGGCGGAGUGGGGAGCUCACUCUCCAUGGAAAAAUAUAUACUCCAAAGGCACACCCCCGGUGACCCACCUCUUCCAGUUAACUGCAUGUUAAUCCCUAUCAGGUGAUUAAAGCACUGAUUAGGUAAAGGCUCUUAGAAUCCAAUCACUUCACCUCUGAACUCUCUUGCAUUGUCUCUCACAUGAAAACCCUUCACAUCUCGACUUGGACUUUUCUGGCUUCCAGAACUGUGAGAAAGUCAGUUUCCACUGUGGUUCUUUGGUAGCCCGAGCUGAUGAGACAUUGAGAGUCACCAGGUAAGGCCAUUUCUCCUGUCCUUCUCU